CUCAGAGCGAGGCCAGUGUCUACAGCUUGGCCAUAGAAUCCUUGCGGUGGAGGAUGGACAGCCCAUACCUGUUUUGCCUCCUGAAAACAGGUGUAGGGCCCUCUGCUGCUAAAACAAGAGCCUGAAUGUGCUGUUUGACAUCUCUCCCAAAUCAGAAAUCUGGGUUUCAUCUGCCAAACACCUUAAGUUUUGCACCUUGUGCUGCCCGUGAUUGUAGUGGCAAGUGAUAAGUUCACAACUGCAUUUACUUUGGAGGCAUGACCAAAACUAGGAGAGAGAACCUGCUUGUCUUACCUUACCAUACUCAUACCUUACCAGUAUGUUGCAGCUUCCUUUGUCUUGGGGAGCUGUGAAGACAGGAGGAGAUGAAAUGCAGCAGGGUCAGCUGCUGCAGAAGAAGGAAGUGCAGGCACUCCUGUGACAUGUUUUCACUGAAGGAAUAUGGAGACUCAAGUAUCAGUCACUCAGCACCUCUGUCCUGGCAUAGAAACAUGCUGCAACAAAGGAGUCACACUUCCUUGGCCAGCACUCACCCAUCCUCAUCCUGGGGACCCAAAGGAAGUUCAUUGUCCAUUCACAGUGUCCCAUGUUUUGAAGGUAAGCAGUGUGACUCCCACUGAAUGGAUGGAAAUGUGCUUGGCUGCCUUCAAGAAAGGGCUGUGAGUGGUCCCUGGAACAAGGGAAGAGUACUGAAGAGGUUUUGGAGCUGACUGGUACAAUUAUUUUAAUAUUGCUGGGAUUUUAGCAUACCUGUGAUGUGUUAGGACACUAAAAACCUUGGACAGACAGCUUUUUAUUAUUGCUUAAGCCAAGAUAAGUUAAUGAAACACCGUUAGUGCCUGAUCCCAGCUGGAUCUGAUACAGUGACUGUCUGUACCUGCUGUUCUAGUCUUACAGAAUUUUCCAUUGUGCAGUUUCUGCAGAUAGCAUCUAUAGUGUGAUUUAAACAUUAGGCAUUGUGGAUACAGAAAAACACUGAGAUUUCCAGGUAAGCUGGAGGAUGCAUGAAUGGAAUUUCAGUGAUGCUGUGUGUUUGACUCUUGACUUGUUUGGAUAUGUGAUGGAAGAAACUGUUUUUUUCCAAAUUUUUCUGGGAGAGGAAUUACAGAUAAAUCUGGAAUAUUUUCCCUUUUCUGGUAUUACUUCAUAAUUCCAGCCAGUAUUUUUCCUUUGGCCUUUUCUGCUUCUGGACAGCUGUUCUCCAGAGCCUAUUUCAGUUUGAGUCCUCCCAGGAAGCACAUGUUUUGUGAUGAUUCUUAAGAAGACAUUUAGCUCUUUGGCUUCAUUGCGAACACUAGCUAACCACCCACAUUUUGAGGAGCGUGGCAUCAGAUAGCUCAGGCAAAAAAGAGGUAAGGAUGAGCCAUGGAUGCACCCUGGAAAUGCUGCUGAUCUGCAGUGUAAGUGUGGAGGAUCUGAUCUUGGUAUAAAUGUUUGAUCACAGCCUUGAACACCUCCCAGCAGGCUCAAAUUGCUGAUGUGCUUACCAGUUUCAAUUCAGCAAGGUUUGAUGUGCAUGGGCUUAGAGCCCUGUUCCAAUGACAGUCCCAGUCAAUACCCUUGUUUUUGGAGUGUUUUGGGGGUAAAGCAAACAAAGCCAAAAAAGAGAGGAAAUAAGAG
ensembl:lncRNA